rnacentral:rRNA from 1 species
GACGAACGCUGGCGGCGUGCUUAACACAUGCAAGUCGAACGGACAGGCCCGGCGUUUGUGGGGUGCUCGAGUGGCGAACGGGUGAGUAACACGUGAGUAAACUGCCCUUGACUUUGGGAUAACUUCAGGAGACUGGGGCUAAUACAGGGUAGGAGAUCCUGCUGCAUGGGGGGGGUUGGAAAGAUUCGGCGGUUGGGGAUGGACUCGCGGCUUAUCCGCUUGUUGGUGGGGUAGUGGCUUACCAAGGCUUUGAAGGGUAGCCGGCCUGAGAGGGUGACCGGCGACAUUGGGACUGAGAGACGGCCCAGACUCCUACGGGAGGCAGCAGUGGGGAAUAUUGCACAAUGGGCGGAAGCCUGAUGCAGCAGCGCCGCGUUCGUGAUGACGGCUUUCGGGUGGUAAACCGCUUUCGCCUGUGACGAGGCCUGAGUGACGGUAAUUGGUAAAGAAGCACCGGCUAACUACGUG